rnacentral:rRNA from 1 species
AGCAGAUGACUGGGACUAAAGGGUGCGUAGGCGGUUGGUUAAGUCUGCUGUGAAAGCCCUGGGCUCAACCUGGGAACUGCAGUGGAUACUGGCCAGCUAGAGUGUGUCAGAGGAUGGUGGAAUUCCCGGUGUAGCGGUGAAAUGCGUAGAGAUCGGGAGGAACACCAGUGGCGAAGGCGGCCAUCUGGGACAACACUGACGCUGAGGCACGAAAGCGUGGGGAGCAAACAGGAUUAGAUACCCUGGUAGUCCACGCCCUAAACGAUGCGAACUGGACGUUGGGCACACUUAGGUGCUCAGUGUCGAAGCUAACGCGUUAAGUUCGCCGCCUGGGGAGUACGGUCGCAAGACUGAAACUUAAAAAAUUGACGG